rnacentral:tRNA from 1 species
UGGCUGAGCGGUAAAGCGCUUGGCUUCUGAACUGGGGGUCCUAGGUUCGAAUCCUGG